GGGGCUACUGUUCCUAGGGGCUUUCCUAGUAAAUCUACUUCAAACUUUAAAUAGCCAAAAUGAUUGAAGUGAUAUCAACAUAAAGACUAAUGAGUUACUGCUCAGCAGUGCUCUAUUGAUGAGAGUGCAGAUGGUGGGAGCUGUCCAUUCUGGCACAGAGGUGUAUUUUAUCAUUGUAAUUGUUCAAAAUUGCUAGUUCUUAGUGUUAAUAAAAAUCAGAUGGAUUAUAGUCAGUUUCAUCAUUGUUUACGUUCUCUACAGACAAUGUGUUCCCUUCUUACCUACAGGCAGGGCCGACCACUACCACCAGCCCAACUGGAUAUACUGUGAAAGCUGGUUUCUUAAGGAAUUGGUUUUUUUCUGGAAAUCAGAGUCUUACCUACUGGUGAAAGGUGACAUGAGUGGAGCCAUAUUAAAAUAGAUGUGGAACAGCCAUUUCAGAGGAAUUGCCUUGCAUGUCUUGUUUUGUUUAUCUUCCAAACUGUACCAAACUGCCAACGUUUCGAGAAGUUAGUAAGGACAAGAACAUCCUGUUUGUAAGAACUGAUGAAGUUGGACUUGGCUGAUAACCAGAUCUCUAACCACUCAAUGAAGUACAAGUCUAGCCUUUUGCCUAAUGACUGAAUCUCAAGCAAAUCUGUGAAGUGCAAACCUAGCCUUACCUCAUCUAGCACCAGUGAGCUCUUCUUUAAUACAACUCAUCUUAUCCUCCUUUUUUCCCUUGAAAACUCAAAGCCCC
rnacentral:lncRNA from 1 species